GACGAGUCGAGAAAAGAACGCGAGAUGCGGAUAUUUUUGAGAUAGAGGACACCUGCUUUUAAUAGCAAGCACGGGAAGUGCCGGCGUUGGGAUCGCCCUGAUGUGAACAGGUAGCGCCCACA
rnacentral:sRNA from 32 species